rnacentral:ncRNA from 1 species
UACCUUUGCUCCGCAUCAGGUUACAUUUCUUCCUGUUCGGAAGGUAUGUAUUAAAAGGGAAUCCGGUGUAAAUCCGGAACUGUCCCGCAGCUGUAAGUUUCCAGGCAACUCAUUAUUGCCGCUGUUUAUUCCACAAUACCACUGUAGCCACUAAGGCUAUGGGAAGGUGAUACAACAGCAAACAAGUCAGAAGACCUGCCCGUUGCAGAUAGAUAUU